GGGCUUGUGGUUUAGUGGUAUAAUACUCCCUUAGCAUCGGAUCACCAAUUCGGAGAUUCACUAAGUUGGGAGUGGUCCGGGGUUCGAUUCCCCGCGAGUCCA